GACGAACCGUGCGAACGUUAUUCGGAAUCACUGGGCUUAAAGGGUGCGUAGGCGGGCUCGUUAGUCAGGGGUGAAAUCCCACGGCCCAACCGUGGAAGUGCCUCUGAUACUGCGGGCCUCGAGGGGGAUAGGGGCGUGCGGAACUCAGGGUGGAGCGGUGAAAUGCGUAGAUAUCCUGAGGAACACCGGUGGCGAAAGCGGCGCGCUGGAUCCCUUCUGACGCUGAGGCACGAAAGCCAGGGGAGCAAACGGG
rnacentral:rRNA from 1 species